AUCGUUUCGUCACGUGAUUUUUCUCAGUAAAUUAGGAUAUUUUUCUGUGAUCAACCAUUCAGAUUUUGACAUUGUUUUUUCGUUCAAUAUAUAUAACUUCAUGAAUGGUCUUAGCAUUAAUGUCGAAGGUUACAGUUUUGUUUGCAUGCAUCGUUUUAUAUAUCUUGACGUGAUGACGUCGUUAACAAAUGAUAAUAAUUAGUAAAAAAAAAAAAAGCAAGAGCUCUGUUUUUAAUUAGCAGUAAGUAGUGUGCAAUGUUUUAACUUUUAAGCAAGCACAUGGGACACAUACGGAUCAUGCGGUCCUUAGUUACUACUAUAUACUAGCUGGAUCGAAUUGCAUUAGUGUGAUCUUCGUUUCACUUUAU
rnacentral:lncRNA from 1 species